AUUGCGUCGAAAAUCGACAAAGUAGGGGGUAUGCCUGCUCCGAGGCUCGUUUGACCUCGAAAAUGGACCGAUUGGGUCAUUAGGGUUGGACGUCAAAAAUAUGGAUACCCAAAAAAUGGUUAAUUAUAGCACAUGAAAAUUGGAAAAAUAGGAGGUAUGCGUGCUCUAGGGCUCGUUUGACCGUUUGACCUUGAAAAUGGUUCGAUUUGGCCGUCAGGGACAACCGACUCCAUAACUAAGGUCUUAUCGGACGUCUAGAAAAUUUUUUGGCAUUUUAGAAGUCAAAAAUUUAGAUCACCAGAAAUGAUGGUGAACUAUAUCACACAAAAAUCAGCAAAAUGGGGGGAUGUCUGCUUCGAGACUCGUUUGACCUCGAAAAUAGACCGAUUUAGCCGUCAGGGCCAACCGACUCCAUAGCUCAGGUAUUAACAUACGUCUACAAAAAUUUUGGCAUUUUGAAUGUCAUAAAU
rnacentral:misc_RNA from 1 species